UCCGGCUAAAUUCUCUAAAUUCCGACAAGAUUCUAGCCAGAUUUCUACUUUUAUUCAAGGAAAAACUACUUUUCUACACUAAUACACUAAUAUUUUGGUACUAAUUAGAUGAGAUAAGUGUUACAUGAUAGACUUUGUUUAUUUUAUUUGAAUAAUAGUAUUUUUUUUUCUAAUACAUAAUAUAUUUUUAAAUUUUUUUUCAUUAUGCGCUUUAUUUUUCUAAGGCCCUUGUUUUUUUUUGCGUUUUACGCCUAGGCCCCAGGCGAGGCCUAUGCGCCUUGAGUGCGCUUAGCGCCUUUAAUAACUAUGUGCUAUAUAAAUUGAAUUCUCCUUAAGUUGGUAAAUUGGACAAAUAUUGUGAAUGGGUCGAUUCAGGUUAUUUUUCGGGUCAAAGAGUCAAACGGGUUGAAAUUGGUUGCUGUAAAAUAUCCUAUGGAUGUCUUAAAAGCUUUUUUUUCUUUUACAAUCAUAGAGGCACUGAUCACUUUUUCUCCAAAACAAGUUUAUUUCAUGUAUAAUUGAUGAUAAACAAAGCUACCUGGUUUUCCUUUUUUGUUUUUUUUUUCUGGAACUGAUCAUGCAUGCCCUUUUGGAUCACAUUGUGGUGUUUUAUGUCCAUUUUUUGAUCCCAUUUGUAGCCACGUUUUAAGUUGUUGUUUAUCACGUUUACACUUCUAAAUCUGCAAUAUGUUUUGUAAAUGGAAUUGGAAUGAUUACUGGAACCAUAAGUUUUAUGCCGCUCUUUAUCGUGUUUACACUUCCCAACCCAUCCAUUUUGUUGUGCAGGUAUGGUACAGAGCUUGAAAACAAGAGAAGAAUAUAAGAAAACCAUGUUGAAGACAUAGAGAUAAUUGUUAGAGAUUUUUUUAUUAUAUAUUUCCUUAUUAGGGACUUGAUGUUGAUGACUGGCCCUGUACUUUCAGUUUGUGGUGCAUGAACCCAGCCCUCGUGUUCAAGAACAUGUCUGAUGGUGUUCUUUCAGAAAUUUUAACAUCCGGGUAGGUGAAAUUGAGUUAUCGGAAGUUAAACAUGUUGACUCAGAUGCGAAAGUCAGCGUUGCCAAGAUUGUCGAUGGUUACCUUGCUGAAAUCGCAAAGGAGCCGAAUACUUCGUUGCUAAAGUUUGCGGAUCUUGGGGAUAUGGUGUCAGGUUUACCAAGACGAUGGGAUUUAUCACACAAUCGACAUGUAUCUUAAGGAACACCCCUGGAUGGGAAAGAGCAUAAAGAAACGAGUAUGCAGACUAAUGGAUUGCAGAAAAUUGUCACCGGAUGCUUGCAAGCACACGGUUCAAAACGAGCGGCUCCCUUUACGGGUGGUGGUGCAAGUCCUCUUUUUUGAGCAGCUAUGAGUCACAUCAAGUGGUGGGAUGGCGGCGGAAGCCGCCAUGGGCCUGCUUCUGGGGUGAUGCUCGACCCAGAAGUUCAGGCAAUUAAAAUAGCUACAGAUGCAGACCCAGAAGUUCCUCAUUCAAGUGGCAUCCCUGCAAGGUAUUAGAAGACCUGUUCUCUUCGCUUACCUGCUUUUUCUCUAAAGACGGGAAACACAUAUGCGACUGUCAGCUUGUAUAACAAUGUCAUAAUAUCUACGGUGAUGCUGGACUUGAUGUUGAUGACUGGCCCUGUACUUUCAGUUUGUGGUGCAUGAACCCAGCUCUCGUGUUCAAGAACAUGUCCGAUGGUGUUCUUUCAGUAAUUUUAACAUCCGGGACUCUCUCACCAAUGAGCUCCUUCCAGUCGGAACUUGGGAUUCAGUUCGGAACCUCUCUUGUGGCUCCACAUGUAAACUUAAUUCGCAUUUUGAUCUUUUUAUAUGAAAGCUAUGGGCUGGUGUGAUCCACUUGUCUUAAUGUUAAGUAUGUUGCCAAUGUUGUUUCUUCUACUUUAUUGCAAGUCCUUGUUACGUUACGUGAAGGUAGUGUUGUGAGCCCACCUGACAAGUGUUGUGAGCCCAAUGUUAAGUAGGUGGCCCAUGUUGAGAAAAAAUGUGUUUUAAUUUGAAGAUGGUGACUGAUGGUCACUCGGUUCAACAAAAGGCCCACGUAUUGUUUUUUUUUUUUUGUGCCACAAGUUAAUUGCAUGGUGUUUCAUUGCUAUUGGAUUGAAGGCCCAAGUCGGGUUUUUUUUUAAAAGCUUGAAGCUACGGUUUUGAAAGCCUGAGGUUGGGUUCGAGAUUCUUUGGUUAAAGAUCCAAUAUUAGGGUAAUUAGCAGCUGCACCCUUUUUUAAUAUUGUUUUAUGGGUAUUUUGUAUAAACCAUCCGUUUGAUGAGGUUUGGUUUGUUGUCAGUUUGUGAAACCACUUUAUUAGUAGUUUUCCUAAAUCC